GACGAACGCUGGCGGCGUGCUUAACACAUGCAAGUCGAACGGUAAGGCCCUGCUUUUGUUGGGUGGUCGAGUGGCGAACGGGUGAGUAACACGUGAGUAACCUGCCUUUUACUUUGGGAUAACUUCAGGAAACUGGUGCUAAUACCGGAUAUUAGCUCCUCCUGCAUGGGGGGUGUGUGGAAGUGGCGGUGGUUGGGGAUGGACGCGCGGCUUCUCAGCUUGUUGGUGGGGUAGUGGUUUACCAAGGCUUUGACGGGGAGCCGGCCUGAGAGGGUGACCGGGGACAUUGGGACUGAGAUACGGCGCAGAGUCCUACGGGAGGCAGCAGUGGGGAAGAUUGAAGAAUGGGCGGAAGACUGAGGCAGAAACGUCGAGUGCGGGAGGACGGCCUUCGGGUUGGAAAACGCUUUAGCCUGUGAAGAAGCGGGAGUGACGGUAAUGGGUAAAGAAGCACCGGCUAACUACGUG
rnacentral:rRNA from 1 species